rnacentral:rRNA from 1 species
AUUGAACGCUGGCGGCAGGCCUAACACAUGCAAGUCGAGCGAGCGGCGGACGGGUGAGUAAUGUGUGGGAAACUGCCUGAUGGAGGGGGAUAACAACAGGAAACAGGGGCUAAUAUCGCAUACCAUCAGAUGUGCCCAGAUGGGAUUAGCUAGUAGGUGGGGUAACGGCUCACCUAGGCGACGAUCCCUAGCUGGUCUGAGAGGAUGACCAGCCACACUGGAACUGAGACACGGUCCAGACUCCUACGGGAGGCAGCAGUGGGGAAUAUUGCACAAUGGGCGCAAGCCUGAUGCAGCCAUGCCGCGUGUAUGAAGAAGGCCUUCGGGUUGUAAAGUACUUUCAGCGGGGAGGCGUUACCCGCAGAAGAAGCACCGGCUAACUCCGUGCCAGCAGCCGCGGUAAUUC